rnacentral:rRNA from 1 species
AUUGAACGCUGGCGGCAGGCCUAACACAUGCAAGUCGAGCGGAUGAGUGGAGCUUGCUCCCUGAUUCAGCGGCGGACGGGUGAGUAAUGCCUACGAAUCUGCCUGGUAGUGGGGGACAACGUUUCGAAAGGAACGCUAAUACCGCAUACGUCCUACGGGAGAAAGUGGGGGAUCUUCGGACCUCACGCUAUCAGAUGAGCCUAGGUCGGAUUAGCUAGUUGGUGAGGUAAAGGCUCACCAAGGCGACGAUCCGUAACUGGUCUGAGAGGAUGAUCAGUCACACUGGAACUGAGACACGGUCCAGACUCCUACGGGAGGCAGCAGUGGGGAAUAUUGGACAAUGGGCGAAAGCCUGAUCCAGCCAUGCCGCGUGUGUGAAGAAGGUCUUCGGAUUGUAAAGCACUUUAAGUUGGGAGGAAGGGCAGUAAGUUAAUACCUUGCUGUUUUGACGUUACCAACAGAAUAAGCACCGGCUAACUUCGU